AGUUCGUCCCUCGAGGAGCCUAAGGCCAGGAACAGCGUUUGCUCCAAGUAUUUCAGGACACUGUUUAUCAGGCAGGAUACUUAUGCUCUGCCUGGUCUGUGUCACUCCACAAACUCACCAACUCACCAACGAGCUUCCGUCUGUGGUUUACUUCACACUCACAGGCCCUGCAGCCCCACACUGGUGACAGCGUGGGUAUUUAAGCCCUUGGGCACACUCAGUUUGUGCUCAGUCACCCAGCAUUUCCUGAGAUGUCCAACAAGCAGCUAAUCUAGUAAGUCAGAAUUUUCAUUCAAGUUCACUCCAGUCAAACUAUUGUCUCUCUCCACUGUUGCUUCUGAUUCUGCUGUCUUUGCUCUUUGGCUGUGAGCAUUUUUAUCUCUUGCAUCCAUUGAAGAUACAGACUGAGCAAGUAGCCAUCAACUGACUAAAUUAUUCUCUCUAUGUACAUCUUUCAGGGGUUGCAGAGCUAUGGGUACACAAACGUUUUUGUGUGUAUGAGGAAGCUUGGCCCUGAGCUAACAUCUAUUGCCAAUCUUCCUCUUUCUGCUUGAGGAAGAUUGUUGCUGAGCUAACAUCUAUGCCAAUCUUCCUCUGUUUUAUGUGGGAUGCUGCCACAGUGUGGCUUGAUAAGCAAUGCUAUGUCUGCACCCUAGAUCCAAACCUACGAACCCCGGGCUGCUGAAGUGAAGCAUGAAAACUUAACCACUACUCCACUGGGCCAGACCCUACACAAAUGUUUUUGAUGUUGAUGAGGGAGGGGAAAACUUGACCUUUUUGUAGGUGAUUGCCAACUUGUUUACCUCUUCACUCUAUUGCUUUUCCUCUCUUGGCCAGAGAGCUGCUUUCUGUUUCUACUGGGUUUUUCAGGGACCCCAGUUUUCUAGGACUCUCUCCUAUUAAAUGCAUGUAUCAUGUGAGGGUAAACAAGAAUCAAGCUGGGCCAACAUUUAGUCAUAACUUAGUGUGUUAACAUUUAACUUUCUUUUAGUCUCUAUAACUGAGUCUACCUUAUUCAUGAGUCCUUUUUUCCUCUAAUAGUAGAAACACUUGUAGCAAGAUCUGUAAAUGGAAGUUUAGGCUGACAUCCCAAGAUGACAAAUGCCAGAUGGCAGAAAGGAUUGAGAUCAUUCAGGAAGAUGUGUAAAAUUUCAAGGGA
rnacentral:lncRNA from 1 species